GACGAACGCUGGCGGCGUGCUUAACACAUGCAAGUCGAACGAGAGGACAAGAGAAGCUUGCUUCUUUUGGAAUCGAGUGGCAAACGGGUGAGUAACACGUAAACAACCUGCCUUCAGGAUGGGGACAACAGACGGAAACGACUGCUAAUACCGAAUACGCUUGGAAGACCGCAUGAUUUUCCAAGGAAAGGGUGGCCUCUACCUGUAAGCUAUCGCCUGAAGAGGGGUUUGCGUCUGAUUAGGCAGUUGGUGAGGUAACGGCCCACCAAACCUACGAUCAGUAGCCGGUCUGAGAGGAUGAACGGCCACACUGGAACUGAGACACGGUCCAGACUCCUACGGGAGGCAGCAGUGGGGAAUCUUCCGCAAUGGGCGAAAGCCUGACGGAGCAACGCCGCGUGAGUGAUGACGGCCUC
rnacentral:rRNA from 1 species